AGGACGAACGCUGGCGGCGUGCCUAACACAUGCAAGUCGAGCGGGGACAUACGACGGAGUCAAAGUUUCGGAUGGAGACGAAGAUGUAUGUUCUAGCGGCGGACGGGUGAGUAACGCGUGAGCAACCUGUCCCUUACAGGGGGAUAACACAGCGAAAGUUGUACUAAUACCGCAUGAGACCACGGGAGGACAUCCUCCAGGGGUCAAAGGAGCAAUCCGGUAAGGGGUGGGCUCGCGUCCGAUUAGAUAGUUGGUGAGGUAACGGCCCACCAAGUCGACGAUCGGUAGCCGACCUGAGAGGGUGAUCGGCCACAUUGGGACUGAGACACGGCCCAAACUCCUACGGGAGGCAGCAGUGGGGAAUAUUGGGCAAAUGGGGGAAACCCUGACCCAGCAACGCCGCGUGAGGGAAGAAGGUUUUCGGAUCGUAAACCUCUGUCCUUGGUGAAGAGUAAGAGACGGUAGCCAAGGAGGAAGCCCCGGCUAACUACGUGCCAGCCGCCGC
rnacentral:rRNA from 1 species